UGUAAAGCUUAUAGGUGACAUUUUAGUCCAUUGUCAAAUUUCUGGACUCAAUCUUGAAUACGAGGUGGAAACUACACAGCUAGAGUAUGGUAUGGGUAGAGGUAAAUUUCUAUUGAGCAGUGAAAUGAGUAAAGAUUAAAAGAACACCGAUGACAAAACUGCUCUGUUGGGCCAACACUAUACAUUGUGAUAUGAAAGCUAGGGGAAUGAAUGUGAUUAAAUAUCACAAUUGCUCUAGUCAUAAAUAAUUUAAUA
rnacentral:rRNA from 1 species